UACGUAGGGUGCGAGCGUUAAUCGGAAUUACUGGGCGUAAAGCGUGCGCAGGCGGUUUUGUAAGCCAGAUGUGAAAGCCCCGGGCUUAACCUGGGAAUGGCAUUUGGGACUGCAAGGCUUGAGUGCGGCAGAGGAGACUGGAAUUCCCGGUGUAGCAGUGAAAUGCGUAGAUAUUGGGAAGAACACCUGAGGCGAAGGCGGGUUGCUGGGCUGACACUGACGCUGAUGCGCGAAAGCCAGGGGAGCGAACGGG
rnacentral:rRNA from 1 species